ACGGAUGUAGCUCAAUUGGUAGAGUAGUGGUCUCCAAAACCAUUGGUUGGGAGUUCGAGUCUCUCCAUUCGUG
rnacentral:tRNA from 1 species